ACAGCUUCCAAACGAAUGUCAACAGCCAUGGAAAGAAACCACAAACAAAGUGCCAGACGAAUCAAAACAACAACCCAUCCCAAAAAAGAGUUUCCACCACCACCACUUCCUUCAACACUCUUUUUCUCAUUUUCCUCCUCUUCUCUUAUUUCAUGAUUUUUCUUUUUCUGUUUCCCCAUUCUCUAUCACAACGUUUACGAAAA
rnacentral:ribozyme from 13 species